UGACAGGCAUGCAAAUAGUCAACCACAGACAGCCAGCCAGACAGACAGACAGACAUGACUCACAACCAUCACAAGAAUUAACCAAGCGAAUACCACCACCACCACCACCACCGUGAACAUAACAAGAUGAACGGUCUCUUAAUGACUACUCUUUUCUCCUCCUCUUCCUUAUCUCCCGUUACUCUUAUUCAUUAUCUUUCUCUCCCUUCUUCUUCUUCUUUAAUUUUCUUCUCUUUUAUCUCAUGUUUUCCAUUGCCUUAUCCUCCUUCGUCGUCGUCCUCUGUAUCUUUCUCUCCCUUCUUUUCUUUCUUCUCUUUUCCUUUCUCUCUUCAAUUUUCUCUGUUAUCUUUUUCCCUCUCCUUUUCUCCUCCUUUUACUCCCAUCCAAUCAAAACUAUUCCCUGAUUUAAUCCUUCGCUUCAUUGACAUUCGUAUAAUAUUCUCACGCCUUCGUUUGCAGCUUCGAUUCGUCACACUUUCGGCUCAUAUUCAGAAACGCCUUGCUCUAUCACCGCAACUGUUUUCAAAGGCCACAGAGAUGAUGAGCUGGGUUGUCAUUACUGAUUCUCCUGUUCAAAAUAUAGUAAUGUUGUUAGUCUGUCAUUUGAACCUAAAAAAAACACAUGAAAAUCCGUGUCACUCCACCAAGAUCCUCUCUCAGAAACGAAGGGUCGAUUUGCUAGAGAGGUGACAUAAUAACGCAAUCUACCCUUUCUUAAUCUUACACUCUUGCAAAUGACAUAUGCUGCCACAUCUGCCCUUAAUAUCAGAGGUGUCAAAAAAAGAAGAGAACAAAAUAGAUGGGCCACAACUCCUGCCGCUAACAGAAAUGGCAUCUGAGCCACUGGUUCCUUCUAUAGAGGACAGGAUCAAAUUUCUUUGAAGAGCUAGAAAAAUUGAAGAAAGGAGUGUCAGCACCAUCAUGCCAGGAGCAGGAACAGCAACAAGUUCAUGGCCAGGAGGUUCCUGAGGGUGCACCUGCCUCUCCUGGAAACAGCACUUCAUGUGUCCCUCAACUCACCUGGUGUGAUCUUGAAGGUUACAGACUUCCAGCUUUUCCACCAAACAUGAGAGUGGUUUUGGCAACAAAAAAUAAACCCACUGACUAUAAGCCAAAAUCCCGGUAUUGGAAAAUGGUGAUCAAUGCAAUCACCAGUGACCUCAAUGAAAGAGGCCAAAUAACUCCAUCAAGAAGAGGAUACAACAAUAUCAUCAACUCUUCCUAGCAUAUCCCUUUCUUGGGGAUCCUAAAUGUUGGAGAAUGUCUUUGAAGAGAAAACUCAAACACAUGAGAAUGCCAAUGGAGCAAUUCCUCAUCCUCAAAGAAAGAUCUGGGGCUCCGAGUAAAACAAGGCCAAGGGAAGCUGAUGAGAACCCAACUAGUCAUGUUACGGUUCGUAAGGAGCGACAGAAGACUCAAGUGGCCAGCAUUGAGAUGUGCAAGCCUGAGGGAUGCAGCCUUGAGGAGGACGACUUAUUUCUUUCUACUGAAACCUCAACAUUGGACAUUGGAUCUUCAGGCCAAGAUGUGAUCCACAUUAUGAUUAGGACUGGAACAUCCAACAGUAAGGAUACGCUAUCUCUAUCAUCUCCAACUCCAUCACCUGCUUCAUCAAGUCCAACACCAGCUCCAGUACAGGGAAACUCAACACAGCCAUCACCUGGUGCCUCCCCCGGCCCUAAAUGAACACCGACAAGAAAAAGAAAACGGGACAAUAAUGAACCUGCAAGUACAGACACACUUAAGAUUGUUGGUGCAAUGACAAAUGCCAUCUCAAACUUGAACACAUUUAGUUUUGCUACCCUUGUAGAAAAGACAUGUGAAAAACUGCCCUUGCUUAGUCAUGUAAGGGUGUUUGGCAAAUGUUGCAAACUAAUGGAAGAAGAGUUGAUAGAAGCAGGUGCUCGUCAAUAAACUGCAGGACCCCA
rnacentral:lncRNA from 1 species